ensembl:lncRNA
GUCGCUUCAUUUCACACAAAGUGGCCAUGAAUGCAUCUCAGCGCUGCAGGGGACGAACCUGUAGGGAGGUUCAUUCAAAGCUCCGUCCGUCUUUUCAAAUCAAACCUCCAUAGGUCGAGAUCUGAAGCCGUUGAUUGGCGGGUCAGUCCUGGGAUGUGUUCCGGUUGAGUGUCUCUGGAUUCAUGUGUUCAUCAGUCGGUAACCUUAUUUCACCAAGAACCACCAAGAACCAUGAAGAACCACAGAACACCAAGAUUAUCAAGAAACACAGGACGACAAAAAUACCAAGAACCACAGAACACCAAGAACACCAAGAACCACAGGACAUCAAGAACCACAGGACACCAAGAACCACCGGACACCAAGAACCACAGGACACUGAGAACCACAGGACACCAAGAACACCAAGAACCACAGAACACCAAGAACAUCAAGAACCACAGGACACCAAGAACCACAGGACACCAUGAACCACAGGACACCAAGAACAUCAAGAACCACAGGACACCAAGAACCACAGGACACCAAGAACACCAAGAACCACAGGACACCAAGAACCACAGGACACCAAGAACCACAGGACACCAAGAACACCAAGAACCACAGGACACCAAGAACACCAAGAACCAACAAGAACCACAGGACACCAAGAACACCAAGAACCACAGGACACCAACAACCACAGGACACCAAGAACCACAGGACACCGAGAACCACAGGACACCAAGAACACCAAGAACCACAGAACACCAAGAACACCAAGAACCACAGGACACCAAGAACCACAGGACACCAAGAACACCAGGAACCACAGGACACCAAGAACACCAAGAACAAACAAGAACCACAGGACACCAAGAACACCAAGAACCACAGGACCCCAAGAACACCAAGAACCAACAAGAACCACAGGACACCAAGAACCGCAGGAUAACCAAGAACCACAGGACCUAACCCUAACCCUAACCAACAAGAACCACAUCAUCAUCAUCAUCAUCUCCCCCCGCCCCGGCCCAGCCCUCCAUGCCCCCCAUGGACUGCACUUAAGACUUAAUGCAC